UGCUACGUGGGUGGCAGGAGGGUGGGUAGAACGGGGGGUUGGGGCGUUGUCCGGAAGCACUGAGCGUAAAGGGCUGGGAGGUGGCGUGACAAUUCAACGGUGAAAGCCCGGGGGUCAACCCCGGGUCGGCCGUCGAGACUGUUGGGCGCGAGCACUGUAGAGGCAGAUGGAAUUCCGGGUGUAGCGGUGGAAUGCGUAGAGAUCCGGAAGAACACCGGUGGCGAAGGCGGUCUGCUGGGCAGUAGCUGACACUGAUGCGCGACAGCGUGGGGAGCAAACAGGAUUAGAUACCCCGGUAGUC
rnacentral:rRNA from 1 species